UGGGGAAUAUUGCACAAUGGGCGCAAGCCUGAUGCAGCCAUGCCGCGUGUGUGAAGAAGGCCUUCGGGUUGUAAAGCACUUUCAGCGAGGAGGAAGGGUAGUGUGUUAAUAGCACAUUGCAUUGACGUUACUCGCAGAAGAAGCACCGGCUAACUCCGUGCCAGCAGCCGCGGUAAUACGGAGGGUGCAAGCGUUAAUCGGAAUUACUGGGCGUAAAGCGCACGCAGGCGGUUUGUUAAGUCAGAUGUGAAAUCCCCGCGCUUAACGUGGGAACUGCA
rnacentral:rRNA from 1 species